rnacentral:lncRNA from 1 species
GUGUGCUGCAGUCAUUGGAAAUAUGUCACUUUUAUAUAGAAUAAAGAAGAACAGCUAUUUAGUGUGUUGUAACCUAUAAUUUGUGUGCAUUCAGGUGUAAUGACCCAAGGUCAGACAUUUCCCUCUCUUUGCUUUAAUUUCAUUGGAUUAGGCAUUGCAGAUUAUCUGAUCAUUGCCUGUAGCUUUUUGUAACUGCAAACUUGUGAUUUGUGCAUUGGUUAUAUUAAAAUGAUUUGAAAAUUAUUGGAUUAUAAUACAGACCAUCAACUGGAUCAAAGAGAUUGUGGUGUGUGUGUGUGUGUGUGCUGUGUUGAGAUACCAUUGUUGAGGAAGAGUUGCAUUCCAAGUUGCACAACUUGGCAUGCACAAAUGGGAAAAGAUGUGUACAAAGUUCUUGUGAGCAUCCGCUGUUGUUGAACAUGUUGGAUAUGCCAUUCCUGGUCCAACAUGGACAAAAAAUGGACACAUAAUUGGUUAAAGGCAAAGCUAAAAGGCCUACACUGGAUCAAAAAGAGUUUGUGGAGUGUGAUGUGAGCUGUGUUGAGAUACAAUUGUUGAGGAAGAGUUGCAGUUAGUUCAGCAACUUGGCAUACGCAAAUAGGGAAGAAACAUGUACAAGGAAAUUCUCGUGAGCAUACGCUGUUGGUGAACAUGUUGGAAAUGCUGUAUGGGUGCCAGUGUAGACAAAAAAAUGGAAAGCCGAAAGGAUGCGUGAUUUCUUACCAACACAGUGGACUGAAGACAACCCUACUCCAUGAACCACUUUCAAUUCUGCUUUCCAAAUGAAAUAUAGAACUAAAUGCAGUUCAUCUAACGGAGUGGAGUCCAGCAAUAAUGUUGUGAUUACCAGCAGUUCUGAUAAGUGAUCUACUCGGCCAGCAAACAGGAGAUAUGAACAUUCAGUUGUAAACCAUUGUGAGUGGUUGUAUGUGGAUUUUUAGAAGAUUUGAACAGCCGGUUAUGAAGCAAUGCAUGGUUUUUUGAGUGGACAUCAGUAUUCAGUUAAAACCAGUGUAUGGAUUUUUGAGCAAGUUAUAAUUGUGUAUUAUCAGAAUGAUAUUUCUGGGGUGUUAGGAAAUCACUUACUUUGACAUUCGGAGAACAGAGACUAUAUGAAUAGUGCAAUUUAAAUUAGUGGAUUAACAAAAUACAGGGUUGUCAAUAAGUUUUUGUUGAACAGGCUGAAAUAGAAAUGUAGGCGGCCAGCUAUGGGGGUCCGGGGGCAUGCCCCCCCGGAAAAUUUUGAAAUUCAGCACUUCAUUUCCUGCAUUUUGGAAGCAUUUAAGAACAUAUUUUCCACUGCAUUUUUUAAAUACAAUAUACCUUUAUUUUCACAUUUUUAUGAGCUCACCUGGUAAAUUUGGAGAUAAUAAUAAAAAUGAGUUUACACGUUCAUUAAUGCAUUUUCAAGUCCUGAAAUGAUAAUAUCUAACUUGUCACCACACUCCAACUCUUUGUUAUACUUCUUUGCAAAAUCAAAUAGUUAUUGAACUACUGUAUAUCUAAAUUCAAAACUCUACUGAGUAUUAAACCUGUAGGCCUACUCAUAUUUCUUUUGUGGGGAAGAAGAUUCCCCAGAUGAAUUUUUACGAUUUGGCGUGACAAAAAAUGUCACUGUUAGAACCAUCAAAACAAAAUGUACAGAGUUAGAAGUAACACAAGUUUAGGCAUAGAAAAUUAACUGUUUGAUUCUUAUCCCACCUAUCCUUAUCCAAAACCCCUAGCCUCGAUUUUUUAUUGAUCAAAAUCCAGAUAUCCAAAAUUGUAUGUCCGGGACCAAAUCUCCAGAUUAAAGGAUGUGUUUGACAAAUUAUGAUGGUGCAAAGACAGUUUAACAGCAUUUGACAGUAUCUGAUAUAAAAAUUUACCAUGACAUUUCCUCUUAUUAAAAUGAUUUAAGAGAAAUAUUUAUCAAAAAUCGGCCAGCUGAUACCGCGACAACUACUGUACUUUCGAUUUCAAAAAUUUAUAGAAAAAAGGUAAAAGCCAAUAUAUAUUUUCUGAUCUAAAUUCGAUUGUGAUUAAUAAUUUUUUUAUAGAAAUUAAAUAUCUGUCUCAGUUGUCACAUUAUAAUCAACACCUGGCUUUGUUAUACAAUGCAAUAAACAGCACUCGACAGACUCGAUAGGUGUGAAAAUAUCCGAAAAUUGUUGUUUACACGAUUAGUUAUGAGCGAUUUUGGAUUAUUAAAUGUAAAGGAGCUUGUGGAUAAUUUCUUUGUUUUGUUUUUUGUUGUCUUUUCUUUUAAAUCGGGACCAUCGACACUCAUGAUUUCAAAAUUCUUGGAAAUUAUCGCGGAUGUCCCAUCACUCUUUCUUCCGAAAUUUUUGCUACAAAAUAUAACUUUGACACUACGAUAACUGAUGAAUAUAUUUUCACGUAGAUCUCUGAUAUUA